rnacentral:rRNA from 1 species
UACGUAGGGGGCGAGCGUUGUCCGGAUUUAUUGGGCGUAAAGAGCGUGUAGGCGGCCAGGUAGGUCUGCUGUGAAAACUCGAGGCUCAACCUCGAGACGGCGGCGGAAACCAUCUGGCUAGAGUCCGGAAGAGGAGAGUGGAAUUCCUGGUGUAGCGGUGAAAUGCGCAGAUAUCAGGAAGAACACCAGUGGCGAAGGCGGCUCUCUGGGACGGUACUGACGCUGAGACGCGAAAGCGUGGGGAGCGAACAGG